GGGGGGUACAGGGUUGUGGGACCCCCCCGCUGCCCUGGCCCUGCUAUGCUGAGCACUGUUCUGCUGCAGACCCAUGAGCUGCACCGAGCCUACCAGCCCACCUACCUGCUGACCCUCAGCACCGAGAACAGUGAUGCGGGAUCACAGCCAGACCUCAGCUUCAGCUGCACCAUGGAGCAGCUGCAGGAUUUGGUCGGGAAGCUGAAGGAUGCUGCCAAGAGCCUGGAGAGAGCAACACAGCUGUGACCGAGGGCAGACGGGCACUGCGUGAGAACAUUCCCAAUGGCAAAUGCCCUUCUGUGCACAUCUCUGCACAUCUCUUGAUCCAAACCAUUUUAUAGUGAUUUCUAGAUAUGAAUUAAGCAAACUGUUGGGAUAGAAUAUGCAGUCGGUAUUCCUUGCUCCUGUUAUAUUUUCUUGAAAAUUAACACUUCAGUUAAAUAUUGCCUCAACCGUUGUGUCUCCAGAGCAUCCCUCCUCUUUCAUGCCGUGCAUUUUCCUUCGCGUUCCAUUAAAGACGAUUUUCCCUUCC